UACGUAGGGCGCAAGCGUUGUUCGGAUUUACUGGGCGUAAAGGGCGGGUAGGCGGCCACCGCAAGUCGACUGUGAAAUCUCCGGGCUUAACCCGGAAAGGUCAGCCGAUACUGCGGGGCUAGAGUGCAGAAGGGGCAACUGGAAUUCUCGGUGUAGCGGUGAAAUGCGUAGAUAUCGAGAGGAACACCUGAGGCGAAGGCGGGUUGCUAGGCUGACACUGACGCUGACAGCGCGAAAGCCAGGGGAGCAAACGGG
rnacentral:rRNA from 1 species